UACGAAGGGGGCUAGCGUUGCUCGGAAUCACUGGGCGCAAAGGGUGCGUAGGCGGGUCUUUAAGUCAGGGGUGAAAUCCUGGAGCUCAACUCCAGAACUGCCUUUGAUACUGAAGAUCUUGAGUUCGGGAGAGGUGAGUGGAACUGCGAGUGUAGAGGUGAAAUUCGUAGAUAUUCGCAAGAACACCAGUGGCGAAGGCGGCUCACUGGCCCGAUACUGACGCUGAGGCACGAAAGCCAGGGGAGCGAACGGG
rnacentral:rRNA from 1 species